rnacentral:rRNA from 1 species
CUAACAAGGAUUCCCCUAGUAACUGCGAGUGAAGCGGGAAAAGCUCAAAUUUAAAAUCUGGCAGUCUUUGGCUGUCCGAGUUGUAAUCUAGAGAAGUAUUAUCCGCGCUGGACCGUGUACAAGUCUCCUGGAAUGGAGCGUCAUAGAGGGUGAGAAUCCCGUCUUUGACACGGACUGCCAGGGCUUUGUGAUAUGCUCUCAAAGAGUCGAGUUGUUUGGGAAUGCAGCUCAAAAUGGGUGGUAAAUUCCAUCUAAAGCUAAAUAUUGGCGAGAGACCGAUAGCGAACAAGUACCGUGAGGGAAAGAUGAAAAGAACUUUGGAAAGAGAGUUAAACAGUACGUGAAAUUGCUGAAAGGGAAACGCUUGAAGUCAGUCGCGUUGGCCAGGGAUCAACCUUGCUCUUUUGCUUGGCUUAUUUUCUGGUCAAUGGGUCAGCAUCAAUUUUGACUGGUGGAAAAAGUUCAAGGGAAUGUGGCAUCUUUCGGAUGUGUUAUAGCCUUUGUUCAUAUGCAUUGGUUGGGAUUGAGGAACUCAGCACGCCGAAAGGCCGGGUUUUUAACCACGUACGUGCUUAGGAUGCUGGCAUAAUGGCUUUAAUCGACCCGUCUUGAAACACGGACCAAGGAGUCUAACAUGCCUGCGAGUGUUUGGGUGAAAAACCCGAGCGCGUAAUGAAAGUGAAAGUUGAGAUCCCUGUCGUAGGGAGCAUUGACGCCCGGAUCUGACCUUUUGUGACGAUUCUGCGGUAGAGCAUGUAUGUUGGGACCCGAAAGAUGGUGAACUAUGCCUGAAUAGGGUGAAGCCAGAGGAAACUCUGGUGGAGGCUCGUAGCGAUUCUGACGUGCAAAUCGAUCGUCAAAAUUUGGGUAUAGGGGCGAAA